AGUCGAACGGGAUGCUUAGGCAUCUAGUGGCGGACGGGUGAGUAACGCGUGAGAAUCUGGCUCCAGGUCGGGGAUAACAGUUGGAAACGACUGCUAAUACCGGAUGUGCCGAGAGGUGAAAGAUUUAUCGCCUGGAGAUGAGCUCGCGUCUGAUUAGCUAGUUGGCGGUGUAAGGGACCACCAAGGCAUCGAUCAGUAGCUGGUCUGAGAGGAUGAUCAGCCACACUGGGACUGAGACACGGCCCAGACUCCUACGGGAGGCAGCAGUGGGGAAUUUUCCGCAAUGGGCGAAAGCCUGACGGAGCAAUACCGCGUGAGGGAGGAAGGCUCUUGGGUCGUAAACCUCUUUUCUCAAGGAAGAAGAAAGUGACGGUACUUGAGGAAUAAGCAUCGGCUAACUCCGUGCCAGCAGCCGCGGUAAUACGGAGGAUGCAAGCGUUAUCCGGAAUGAUUGGGCGUAAAGGGUCUGCAGGUGGAACUGAAAGUCUGCUGUUAAAGAGUUUGGCUUAACCAAAUAAAAGCGGUGGAAACUACAGAACUAGAGUGCGGUAGGGGCAAAAGGAAUUCCUGGUGUAGCGGUGAAAUGCGUAGAUAUCAGGAAGAACACCGGUGGCGAAAGCGUUUUGCUAGACCGUAACUGACACUGAGGGACGAAAGCUAGGGGAGCGAAUGGGAUUAGAUACCCCAGUAGUCCUAGCCGUAAACGAUGGAUACUAGGCGUGGCUUGUAUCGACCCGAGCCGUGCCGGAGCUAACGCGUUAAGUAUCCCGCCUGGGGAGUACGCACGCAAGUGUGAAACUCAAAGGAAUUGACGGGGGCCCGCACAAGCGGUGGAGUAUGUGGUUUAAUUCGAUGCAACGCGAAGAACCUUACCAAGACUUGACAUCCUGCGAAUCCCGGUGAAAGCUGGGAGUGCCUUAGGGAGCGCAGAGACAGGUGGUGCAUGGCUGUCGUCAGCUCGUGUCGUGAGAUGUUGGGUUAAGUCCCGCAACGAGCGCAACCCUCGUUUUUAGUUGCCAGCAUUAAGUUGGGCACUCUAGAGAGACUGCCGGUGACAAACCGGAGGAAGGUGGGGAUGACGUCAAGUCAGCAUGCCCCUUACGUCUUGGGCUACACACGUACUACAAUGCUACGGACAGAGGGCAGCGAGCCAGGGAUGGCAAGCGAAUCCAGAAACCGUAGCUCAGUUCAGAUCGAAGGCUGCAACUCGCCUUCGUGAAGGAGGAAUCGCUAGUAAUUGCAGGUCAGCAUACUGCAGUGAAUUCGUUCCCGGGCCUUGUACACACCGCCCGUCACACCAUGGAAGUUGGUCACGCCCGAAGUCAUUACCCCAACCGAAAGGAGGGGGAUGCCUAA
rnacentral:rRNA from 1 species